CAUGGUUGUCGUCAGCUCGUGUCGUGAGAUGUUGGUUAAGUCCCGCAACGAGCGCAACCCCUAUGUUAGUUGCCAUCAUUCAGUUGGGCACUCUAGCGAGACUGCCGGUAAUAAACCGGGAGGAAGGUGGGGAUGACGUCAAAUCAUCAUGCCCCUUAUGACCUGGGCUACACACGUGCUACAAUGGUUGGUACAACGAGUUGCGAGUCGGUGACGGCGAGCUAAUCUCUUAAAGCCAAUCUCAGUUCGGAUUGUAGGCUGCAACUCGCCUACAUGAAGUCGGAAUCGCUAGUAAUCGCGGAUCAGCACGCCGCGGUGAAUACGUUCCCGGGCCUU
rnacentral:rRNA from 1 species